AGGACUAGUAAAGGACCAGGACGAGUAAAGGCCCAGGACUAAUAAAGGCCCAGGACUAAUAAAGGCCCAGGACGAAAAAAGGCCCAGGACUAGUAAAGGCCCAAGCCUAGUAAAGGCAGGAUUAGUAAAGGCAGGACUAGAAAAAGGCUCAGGACUAGUAAAGGCCCAGGACUAGUAAAGGCCCAGGACUAGUAAAGGCCCAGGACUAGUAAAGACCCAGGACUAGUAAAGGCCCAGGACUAGUAAAGACCCAGGACUAGUAAAGGCCCAGGACUAGUAAAGACCCAGGACUAGUAAAGGCCC
ensembl:lncRNA